UUAAAUUGAAGAGUUUGAUCAUGGCUCAGAUUGAACGCUGGCGGCAGGGCUAACACAUGCAAGUCGAACGGUAACAGG
rnacentral:rRNA from 1 species